GCCACGGGGGUUUAGCGGUUAGAACGCUGGCCUUGUAAUCCUGGGGUCUCGGGUUCGAUUCCCGGUGGCG
rfam:Zootermopsis nevadensis contig25102, whole genome shotgun sequence.